AAAUCCAAAAAGCCAAAAGCAAAGUCUUCUUGCUGUGACCUUAACAGCUGUCCCGGAGCCAGAAGAUAAGAUAUUCCCAUGUUGAAAAGAGCAAUUUCUGUAACAUCAUGAUGCUGUUGUGCACCACGUUUUCUUCUCUCACCUGGAACUUUGUCUGCCUGUUGCUCCAGAUCUUUAACGUCCUGAGGAUUCUACUGCUGCCGUCCUAUCUGAUUACCUACAUGGCUCAGCUGUUUGCUUUGCUGUGUGAAAAAGCUGUGAAAAUCCUGGACUCCAUGAGGCUGGAGAGCAGAGGACUGUUGGCUUCAGUCUUGGGGAGGAAACUGGAGCUGAGCAAAGCUCAGAGAACCACCAGAGGGUGAAAAUAAAGCAGAUGGUCCCGUGGCUUUUAGCAUCCAUCCUGCUUGGCAUCAGUGAGAGCGACUGCAGCAUGACAGAGGGAGGGGAAUUCUCUGAGAAGGAAACUCACCCAAGACUAAGUCAGCACUCACUGAGGUCACAACAACUAUUUUCAGAGUACUAACAGGCUAAAUAUGAAAUAAAUGACAGCGGCCAGUUUCUUGUCCACCACCUGGAUGUGUAUUCUGCUCCCCUUCCACUUCAAAGGAAUGAGUCCCUUUUUUAAGGACCAAGAACUGCACCAGUGAUACUCUCUGCUCACACUACUAAUCUUUGGUUUCAAACAAAAAAGAUCAAGGCAAUCUUUCUCUGUAGUGGUUCUUACUGGGACUUAAAUGCAGUACAGCCCAAGGAUUAUUAUACUUAUAGUCCAAUUAGCACUCUUCUGAUCUUCGACUUGUCAGUUUGCAAAGUAGGAAACAACUUUUCAAGACUCAGGUCUAAUAAAUUAAGCAGCCUACCUCCAAUUAAUAAGAAAUAAUUAAGCCCUCAGCAGAUCCCGAGCAUGCAUGUCCCUCAUUUCCGUGCAGGCUCUGCUUUUGGCACAGCUGGCAGGCUGAUGGAAGGUUAGAUUACAGCCUAAAGAGGCACUCACCAGCAGCUUGAUUUCACCAGUUGUUGGAGCCACAAGGAGGGGGGUAGGACUGUGACGAGCAUCAUUUUGUGGCCUAAAGGUUUAUCCAGGUGUUGGGCUGUGAUCAGAACAGCUGUGUGCUCCUGGCAUCGAUGCACACAUUCAACACACCUCUUUUUUUUCUUUUUUUUAUUUAAAAAGGACCUGAAUUAGGAAGUCACAUCCCAAAGAGCACAGAGCCAAUUGUGAAAAACGUUUGUCUCUGCUCCCCGUGUGCAGGCUGUGUGCCUGCAGAGCCUUGCAUGGGAACGCUGUGUAACACCAGCCCCUAAUAACCAUGAAACCUGUCCUGUCCGUAUUUGCCUUUCCCUUCCCAUCCCCUGAACAUGUCCAAAUGUUUGCCCAAAGCUGUAUGCUCUUAAAUAAAAACUGUUUGCCCACA